rnacentral:rRNA from 1 species
GUGGGGAAUCUUAGACAAUGGGGGCAACCCUGAUCUAGCCAUGCCGCGUGAGUGAUGAAGGCCUUAGGGUCGUAAAGCUCUUUCGCUGGGGAAGAUAAUGACUGUACCGGAAGAAUAAGCCCCGGCUAACUUCGUGCCAGCAGCCGCGGUAAUACGAAGGGGGCUAGCGUUGUUCGGAAUCACUGGGCGUAAAGCGCACGUAGGCGGACCAUUAAGUCAGGGGUGAAAGCCUGGAGCUCAACUCCAGAACUGCCUUUGAUACUGAUGGUCUCGAGUAUGGAAGAGGUUGGUGGAACUGCGAGUGUAGAGGUGAAAUUCGUAGAUAUUCGCAAGAACACCGGUGGCGAAGGCGGCCAACUGGUCCAUUACUGACGCUGAGGUGCGAAAGCGUGGGGAGCAAACAGGAUUAGAAACCCGGGUAGUCC